rnacentral:rRNA from 1 species
AGUGAACGCUGGCGGUAGGCCUAACACAUGCAAGUCGAACGGCAGCACAGUAAGAGCUUGCUCUUACGGGUGGCGAGUGGCGGACGGGUGAGGAAUACAUCGGAAUCUACUUUUUCGUGGGGGAUAACGUAGGGAAACUUACGCUAAUACCGCAUACGACCUACGGGUGAAAGCAGGGGAUCUUCGGACCUUGCGCGAUUGAAUGAGCCGAUGUCGGAUUGGCUAGUUGGCGGGGUAAAGGCCCACCAAGGCGACGAUCCGUAGCUGGUCUGAGAGGAUGAUCGGCCACACUGGAACUGAGACACGGUCCAGACUCCUACGGGAGGCAGCAGUGGGGAAUAUUGGACAAUGGGCGCAAGCCUGAUCCAGCCAUACCGCGUGGGUGAAGAAGGCCUUCGGGUUGUAAAGCCCUUUUGUUGGGAAAGAAAAGCAGCAGGUUAAUACCCCGCUGUUCUGACGGUACCCAAAGAAUAAGCACCGGCUAACUUCGUG